rnacentral:rRNA from 1 species
GACGAACGCUGGCGGCGUGCCUAAUACAUGCAAGUCGAACGCUUCUUUCCUCCCGAGUGCUUGCACUCAAUUGGAAAGAGGAGUGGCGGACGGGUGAGUAACACGUGGGUAACCUACCCAUCAGAGGGGGAUAACACUUGGAAACAGGUGCUAAUACCGCAUAACAGUUUAUGCCGCAUGGCAUAAGAGUGAAAGGCGCUUUCGGGUGUCGCUGAUGGAUGGACCCGCGGUGCAUUAGCUAGUUGGUGAGGUAACGGCUCACCAAGGCCACGAUGCAUAGCCGACCUGAGAGGGUGAUCGGCCACACUGGGACUGAGACACGGCCCAGACUCCUACGGGAGGCAGCAGUAGGGAAUCUUCGGCAAUGGACGAAAGUCUGACCGAGCAACGCCGCGUGAGUGAAGAAGGUUUUCGGAUCGUAAAACUCUGUUGUUAGGGAAGAACAAGGACGUUAGUAAC